AUAGCGUAUAUUUAAGUUGUUGUAGUUAAAAAGCUCGUAGUUGGAUCUUGGGUCGGGGGGAGCGGUCCGCCCCUCGUGGGUGUGCACUGGUCCACCCGACCUUUCUGCCGGGAACGCGCUCCUGGCCUUCGCUGGUCGGGACGCGGAGUCGGCGAUGUUACUUUGAAAAAAUUAGAGUACUCAAAGCAAGCCUAUGCUCUGAAUACAUUAGCAUGGAAUAACGUGAUAGGACUCUGGUCUUGUUUUGUUGGUCUUCAGGACCGGAGUAAUGAUUAAUAGGGACAGUUGGGGGCAUUCGUAUUUCAUUGUCAGAGGUGAAAUUCUUGGAUUUAUGAAAGAUGAACUUCUG
rnacentral:rRNA from 1 species